UACGGAGGGUGCAAGCGUUAUCCGGAUUUACUGGGCUUAAAGGGUGCGUAGGUGGGUUGAUAAGUCAGUGGUGAAAUCCCCGAGCUUAACUUGGGAACUGCCAUUGAUACUAUUGAUCUUGAAUACCGUGGAGGUCAGCGGAAUAUGUCAUGUAGCGGUGAAAUGCUUAGAUAUGACAUAGAACACCAAUUGCGAAGGCAGCUUACUGCAGGGAUAUUGACACUGAGGCACGAGAGCGUGGGGAUCAAACAGG
rnacentral:rRNA from 1 species